rnacentral:tRNA from 1 species
UGGGCCGUCGCCAAGUGGUAAGGCACCGGGUUUUGAUCCCGGCAUGCGUAGGUUCGAGUCCUACCGGCCCAGCCA